AAGGUUAGACUAGGUGUCGAUAAGGGAAAUUGGAUCCCUGAAAAUGCUCGAGCUAUUUUGGAUCAACAUUGGGCUUCUGAAAAAUUCCAAAACAAAAGUAAUACUGCUAAAGGGAAUCGGGCUGUAGAGAAUGGAGCAACAGCUUACACUGGUGGCUCCAUAUCUGCAGGAGCCCACUUUGAAAAAUUGGCGAAGGAGCUAAAUCGUCCCCCUACUGCUUGGGAAUUAGUGGAAAAGA